rnacentral:rRNA from 1 species
AUUGAACGCUGGCGGCAGGCCUAACACAUGCAAGUCGAACGAGUGGCGGACGGGUGAGUAAUGUCUGGGAAACUGCCUGGUGGAGGGGGAUAACUACUGGAAACGGUAGCUAAUACCGCAUACCAUCAGAUGUGCCCAGAUGGGAUUAGCUUGUUGGUGGGGUAACGGCUCACCAAGGCGACGAUCCCUAGCUGGUCUGAGAGGAUGACCAGCGCCACGGGAACUGAGACACGGUCCAGACUCCACCGGGACGCAGCAGUGGGGAAUAUUGCACAAGGGGAGCAAGCCUGACGCAGCCAUGCCGAGUGUAUGAAGAAGGCCUUCGGGUUGUAAAGUACUUUCAGCGGGGAGGCGUUACCCGAAGAAGAAGCACCGGCUAACUCCGUGCCAGCAGCCGCGGUAAUUC